UUUUUUUUUUUUUUUUUUUUUUUUUUUUUUUGUAGUUUUAGAAAUCAUGCUUUGGGGGAUAGGUACUUCUCAAAUACAACUUUUUUAGGAAUGUUUUAGUUGUCCUUAACAAUUAUGUGCAUCAAUAGUUUAUAUAAUGGUAGUUCAUUAAUUUCACGUAUUAAAGGACUGCUUGUUUGGUUAUUGGUUAUGUAAAUUCCCAAUCUUGGAAACGAUUAUUUGACUCAUUCGAGGAGCUUAGUAAGUUAUAUUCGCUGGAACUGACUAUUUUUAGAAGUCUAAAUAUUAUAUAGUUUCAAUUUUGGUUUGGUACAUGCAAUAGUUUAUAUAAUGAUCCUUGGCUUGCUCGCCAUAGUUUUCGUGUUAGUUUACUCAUCAAAACUUUAAUCUUUAGCAAUAGUUUGUUGGGUUGACUCCGCAUGACUAUCUUGGUUUGAUCCUUAUCCAUCUUGACUUCCUUGGGUGUUGGUUUAACAUGCCAUGAUAAUGUACUAACAUUUCUUUUAUCAUAUAACUUUUUGGCUCGACCUUAUUUCUUACCAAUUUGAUUCAGCAAUAGGAAUGAUAUUUUCCUCAACAGAUACAGUGUGUACACUGCAGGUUCUACAUCAAGAUGAGACUCCUUUGCAGUACAGUCUAGUCUUCUCUCUAAGCUCAAUGUUGAUGGUUCUAUGCUUAGUUUUGGAAAUCUGCUAUCUAGUUUUGUGCCCAUCCAUUUUUGUUCAUUAUCCUUUGCUAUUCUAUAUUAUUUUCGCUGUUAUUGAUUGUGUGCCUUUCUUCUCCACCCUCACCCUCACAUACAAUGUCUUUUUUAAUUAUCAUGUCAUAUGAGAAUCUGUGUUAGUUUCAGUUUUUGCUUGACCUCAGUUCUUACAAUUUGACCUGUAAAUACAGUUUCUGCACUUCAAUUACAGAGCAUCUUAUGGGAUAAUGAUGUGAAAAGCACAAAGUACACUUUGAAGGAAAUGAUAAUGCAUUUUCCUUCCCUUGAACAUCCGGAAGGAAAGGCUGUGAUUAAAUUUGAAACGUUGGCAAAUCUAGCUAACUUUGUUUUGCGGGUGAUCUUCUAAAGGAGUUCGGUGCUGGGGUAGAGUUGGCAACUAUAACUGUGCCACACCUUUUUCUGCCUUUAGCUUGUGCUACCAAUGUGGCCAAGGUUCAACCCUUCUCUGUCUCUCAUUUUCUGGGUAUGGCUUAAUUAGGCUGAGAUUUUUUAUACUAAAUUUAUCUUCUUUAUUUUUUAAUUAUUUUUUAUGCGUUGUGGAAUAGUUAGAGAAUUCAUGAAUUCAAAAUGUUUGCGUAAAGUUUUAUACUAAAUGAUUGUGUAAAUUUUUUAUACUAAAUGAUUCAUGAAUCAUCAGGUGAUACGAUGAUCAUUGCUCAUAAAUGAACAUCUAGCACUGGAUUUGAUUUUGCCGUGGCCAUCAUUUUGUCAAACGGUUACAUAUGAUGUCCACUGUUGUUUUGACGGUGUGAGUAAGCCCUGCUUUGGCAGCAAUCAGUGGUUCAACAAGUAUAAUUGAAAUAUAAACCACUAAUUUUGAGUUCUUUGUUGCUGGUAAAUACUAAAUAGUAAUAAAUAUAGUCACUCUUUAAUAGUUCUUUGAGUUCUUUGUUUCAUCAUCAGCAAGUUUUGUUGGAUUGCCAUGGAAUUGAAGGAUUUUGGAUACUUCUUCUUGAGUUGGGGAGAUUUUUUCAAGUUUUUCGAGUAUAUCAGAAUUAAGGCCUCGGCCCUCAAGAAGGGCAUCAAGGAUUUCUUUCCGAGAUACUGCAAGAGAUCUAAGUACUAUUGCUAUGUUUUGGGAUUUCCGAGGCUCAAGGAUGAAGAUUUGAGCAGGUGGAACAGAGCUGGAACUAAUUGAACUUGAAAUUUUACUGCUUUCAGGAGAUCUGUGAUUGGUGGCAUUAUAUCCAAAUAGAGCUUCCAUAAGAUCAUCAUUAAAUCAGAUGAACAUAGAAGACCAAUAACAAGGAACACAAUGUCAAUUAUCAGACGGAUAGUAAAGAAGAAGAAAAACAUGAAUACGUGGUUAAAUUCAAGGCCUCAUUUACCAGAAAGAUCCAUCAUUGAUCUCAUCCCAGACCACUGAAUGAUCAGCAUUAGCUAUAACCUUGUCCUAGUGCAGUGGCUUCAGUUUCAUCCCACCAGUCCCAGGUGGUGGAGGUAGUGGUGCAGGAUUUCUCUUUGCUGAAGUUGGUAAUGGAGGAGGUGGUGGUGUGGUGGUGGCGGUGGUGGAGGCUGAGAAGGUUAUGGUGGUUGAGGGGGGGCAUAAUGGUUAUGGUGGUGUCACAAUGGGUGAAGGAAUAAGUGGAGCUGGUUUUGCCACUUUGGCAAUAUCAGCCAUAUUACAUGGCUCAUGAAGCAAUGGGAUUUCCUGAAUUCUUUCAGAGUUC